CCUCUGAGCCUGAAGGGGAUGCUGGAGAUGUGACUGGAGGAGGUGAUCCAGGUUCCGCUCUGAGCUCUGGGACUGAAACUCCGGCAGAUCGCAUGGGAGUGCCCCCAGGGAGGGCUUUGCCCGGUCAUGUGUUUCCUCCUGCACUGGAGCCCAGCUGGAAUCCCAGCGGUCCGGAAAAAGGAAAGGAUGAAUCCAAAAGAGGAAAAUACUCCCAGGGCUCAUCCCGUCUCCUCAAGGAACUGGUGAAGGAAAUGGAGAAGGCAGCGCGUGGAACUGACCAACAAAGUGAGCAGGAUGCACUGCAGGAAGAAGGCAGCCAUCCCACACUGCCAGUCUCGGGCAGAGGAACGCAGGCAGCGCCAACAACUGUCAUGCCAGGGAUGAAUGCCGGGACGAGCACAAAGGCUGCUGUUGGCAGAUCUGCGCGAAGGCGCCACAUCGCAGCGAUGGUACUGUUCUCAGCUGUGCUGCUGUCUGCGCUGGUGCUGGCCUGUGGUGCUGUGAUAUGGAUGUGCCAAAAAUACGUAGUGUGCAAGAGAGAAGAGAGAGCAGCAGAGCAGGCUCAUCCUGAUACCAACUAGGAGAGAGUUCCAACUGGAGACGAGGGCAGAACGGAGCUGGGAGAGGCAGCCGAAGAGACUCUUGCCCCAUCAAAGAAGAAUCUCAGCCAUCGUCCCAGUGCAUUCCAUUCUGCCAUCCAAGAGGCCAAAGGUCUUCAAAGUCAUCUGGAAGACUUGGAGCUUGAACUCAAAGCCGUGAAAGAGGUCCACGGGAACAGUCCUGAGUGCUGCUUUCUGUCAGGGGACGGCCCUGAAAGUGAGAGCGGAGAACCAGCAGCAGAGCUUUUGUCCUUCACCCUGCAUUCUCUGGGACAAGCAUCAGCAACAUUUCAAAGAAUCUUAGCUCGGCAUAGCUACAAUCCUGUUGAGGGUCCUAAUGAGGAGCCAGAAAGCGAGCUUCCUCUGACCGCUGGACAACACCUUAACGUCUUUGGAGCUGUGGAUGAGAAUGGCUGGUUUCAGGGAGAGCUGACAGAUGGCACAAGAGGACUGGUCCCAUCCAAUUUGGUUGCGGAGGUUUCAGAUGACUGAACUGGAUACAACGAUGCCUCCGGAGCUCUGUGCUCUCCUGCUGGAUACUUGAUGAAUAAGUGGAUGCAGAGAUUCCAUCAUGCAGCAACAUCCUGUCAAAAUUCCUGCGUUACUCCAUCUGCAAGACUACCCCCUGCUCCACUUGAUGUUCAGGUGGAGUGUGUGCAGGACGUGGAUGAGCUCCUUUGGGAACACUCUGAGGUGACUGACAGUGUAACUGCAUAGUCUUGUGGUAUAUUAAACAAACAAACAAACAAACACCACCCACAAUAAAACAAACAACCAACCA
rnacentral:lncRNA from 1 species